rnacentral:rRNA from 1 species
AUAAGAGGUCCAGCCUGCCCAGUGACACUGUUCAACGGCCGCGGUAUCCUAACCGUGCGAAGGUAGCGUAAUCACUUGUCCUUUAAAUGAGGACUAGUAUGAAUGGCACCACGAGGGUUAUACUGUCUCCUUUUUCCGAUCAGUGAACCUAAUCUCCCCGUGAAGAAACGGGGAUACACCUAUAAGACGAGAAGACCCUAUGGAGCUUUAAACGAAACAACAUUUGCUAAGUUACACACAAAUCUCAGGAACCAUCACCCCUAUUUUAGCUCUCUGAUUGUUAGUUUUAGGUUGGGGUGACCGCGGAGCAAAAGACAACCUCCACAAUGAAUGGGGCCCUCCCCUAAGCAAAAAGCCACAACUUUACGCAUCAACAAAUUGACAUUAGUUGACCCAAUAUUUUGAUCAACGAAACAAGUUACCCUAGGGAUAACAGCGCAAUCCACUUCGAGAGCCCAUAUCGACAAGUGGGUUUACGACCUCGAUGUUGGAUCAGGG